GAUGAACGCUGGCGGCGUGCCUAAUACAUGCAAGUCGAGCGAACAGACGAGGAGCUUGCUCCUUUGACGUUAGCGGCGGACGGGUGAGUAACACGUAGGUAACCUACCUAUAAGACUGGGAUAACUUCGGGAAACCGGAGCUAAUACCGGAUAAUAUAUUGAACCGCAUGGUUCGAUAGUGAAAGACGGUUUUGCUAUCACUUAUAGAUGGAUCUGCGCCGCAUUAGCUAGUUGGUAAGGUAACGGCUUACCAAGGCAACGAUACGUAGCCGACCUGAGAGGGUGAUCGGCCACACUGGAACUGAGACACGGUCCAGACUCCUACGGGAGGCAGCAGUAGGGAAUCUUCCGCAAUGGGCGAAAGCCUGACGGAGCAACGCCGCGUGAGUGAUGAAGGUCUUCGGAUCGUAAAACUCUGUUAUUAGGGAAGAACAAACGUGUAAGUAACUGUGCACGUCUUGACGGUACCUAAUCAGAAAGCCACGGCUAACUACGUG
rnacentral:rRNA from 1 species